rnacentral:tRNA from 1 species
GGUGUUGUGGCUCAGUGGUAGAGCACUUGCUUCACAUGUAUGAGGCACUGGUGUUCGAUCUCCAGCACCA